CAAUAGCGUAUAUUAAAGUUGUUGCAGUUAAAAAGCUCGUAGUUGGAUUUCUGGUUGAAGCGACCGGUCGGGCGUUGAUUCGUCUGCACUGGAGUCGGUUUUGGCCAUCCUCUAGGAAAGUGCGUCUGGUAUUAAGUUAUCGGGCGUAUGAUCCUGGUCUUUUACUGUGAAAAAAUUAGAGUGUUUAAAGCGGGCCUUCGCCUUGAAUACAUUAGCAUGGAAUAAUAAGAUAGGACUUUGGUCUAUUUUGUUGGUUUGCAGACCGAAGUAAUGAUUAAUAGGGAUAGUUGGGGGUAUUUAUAUUCCGAUGUCAGAGGUGAAAUUCUUAGAUUUUCGGAAGAUAAACUUAUGCGAAAGCAUUUACCAAGGAUGUUUNCAUUA
rnacentral:rRNA from 1 species